rnacentral:lncRNA from 1 species
GCAAGGUAAGAAAAGUGUUCUGCGUAGCAUAGGAUUAUAAGCAGUUUCAUAGUUUGUGAUUUGCGAAUGAGGGAUCGGGAAAGAAGUAAGAAGGGAAAAGUUACGUGUGACGAUUGGAGGCACGUGGCGGGAAAUGAAUAGUGAUGUGCGGGAGGAUGGGCACGUGGUGCACACGUGUUGAAAGUGAGGAGCGGUGAAUGAUGGUGUGGAAGGGUGAGAGGGGAACACUGAACAGUGGUCUUUGGGAAAAGCGGGUGUGUUCAGUUGAUGACUCCAUUGGGCAUAUAAUAAUAGUAAACAACAAAUCCCGAAAAGAGCAUAGAAACCAUUUAAAAAGGGGCCACGCCAUCAUAUGAUUACGCUGUCAGUGUUGGUGGGCCCGGAACCCUUCGAUUUUAG